rnacentral:rRNA from 1 species
AACGCGAAGAACCUUACCUACCCUUGACAUGGUUGGAAUCUUUGAGAGAUCAGAGAGUGCUCGCAAGAGAACCAAUACACAGGUGCUGCAUGGCUGUCGUCAGCUCGUGUCGUGAGAUGUUGGGUUAAGUCCCGCAACGAGCGCAACCCUUGUCAUUAAUUGCCAUCAUUUGGUUGGGCACUUUAAUGAGACUGCCGGUGACAAACCGGAGGAAGGUGGGGAUGACGUCAAGUCCUCAUGGCCCUUAUGGGUAGGGCUUCACACGUCAUACAAUGGUACAUACAGAGGGUUGCCAAGCCGCGAGGUGGAGCUAAUCCCAGAAAGUGUAUCGUAGUCCGGAUUGGAGUCUGCAACUCGACUCCAUGAAGUUGGAAUCGCUAGUAAUCGCGGAUCAGCAUGUCGCGGUGAAUACGUUCCCGGGCCUUGUACACACCGGCUAC